rnacentral:rRNA from 1 species
AUUGAACGCUGGCGGCAGGUCUAACACAUGCAAGUCGAACGAGUGGCGGACGGGUGAGUAAUGGCUGGGAAACUGCCUGAUGGAGGGGGAUAACUACUGGAAACGGUAGCUAAUACCGCAUACCAUCGGAUGUGCCCAGAUGGGAGUAGCUAGUGGCUGGGGUAACGGCUCACCUAGGCGACGAUCACUAGCCGGUCUGAGAGGAUGACGAACGGCACUGGAACUGAGAGUCGGUAAAGACCACCACGGGCGGGAGCGGUGGGAACGAUAGCGCAAUGGGGGCAAGCCUGAUGGAGCCAUGUCGCGUGUGGGAAGAAGGACUUGGGGGUGUGAAGCACUUUCAGGGGGGAGGCGUUAACCGCAAAAGCGGCCCCGGCUAACUCCGUGACAGCAGCCGCGGUAAUAC